UGGCGGCGUGCCUAAUACAUGCAAGUCGAGCGAGCGGAACUAACAGAUUUACUUCGGUAAUGACGUUAGGAAAGCGAGCGGCGGAUGGGUGAGUAACACGUGGGGAACCUGCCCCAUAGUCUGGGAUACCACUUGGAAACAGGUGCUAAUACCGGAUAAGAAAGCAGAUCGCAUGAUCAGCUUUUAAAAGGCGGCGUAAGCUGUCGCUAUGGGAUGGCCCCGCGGUGCAUUAGCUAGUUGGUAAGGUAAAGGCUUACCAAGGCGAUGAUGCAUAGCCGAGUUGAGAGACUGAUCGGCCACAUUGGGACCGAGACACGGCCCAAACUCCUACGGGAGGCAGCAGUAGGGAAUCUUCCACAAUGGACGCAAGUCUGAUGGAGCAACGCCGCGUGAGUGAAGAAGGUUUUCGGAUCGUAAAGCUCUGUUGUUGGUGAAGAAGGAUAGAGGUAGUAACUGGCCUUUAUUUGACGGUAAUCAACCAGAAAGUCACGGCUAACUACGUGCCAGCAGCCGCGGUAAUACGUAGGUGGCAAGCGUUGUCCGGAUUUAUUGGGCGUAAAGCGAGCGCAGGCGGAAGAAUAAGUCUGAUGUGAAAGCCCUCGGCUUAACCGAGGAACUGCAUCGGAAACUGUUUUUCUUGAGUGCAGAAGAGGAGAGUGGAACUCCAUGUGUAGCGGUGGAAUGCGUGGAUAUAUGGAAGAACACCAGUGGCGAAGGCGGCUCUCUGGUCUGCAACUGACGCUGAGGCUCGAAAGCAUGGGUAGCGAACAGGAUUAGAUACCCUGGUAGUCCAUGCCGUAAACGAUGAGUGCUAAGUGUUGGGAGGUUUCCGCCUCUCAGUGCUGCAGCUAACGCAUUAAGCACUCCGCCUGGGGAGUACGACCGCAAGGUUGAAACUCAAAGGAAUUGACGGGGGCCCGCACAAGCGGUGGAGCAUGUGGUUUAAUUCGAAGCAACGCGAAGAACCUUACCAGGUCUUGACAUCUAGUGUCAUUUGUAGAGAUACAAAGUUCCCUUCGGGGACGCUAAGACAGGUGGUGCAUGGCUGUCGUCAGCUCGUGUCGUGAGAUGUUGGGUUAAGUCCCGCAACGAGCGCAACCCUUGUUAUUAGUUGCCAGCAUUAAGUUGGGCACUCUAAUGAGACUGCCGGUGACAAACCGGAGGAAGGUGGGGAUGACGUCAAGUCAUCAUGCCCCUUAUGACCUGGGCUACACACGUGCUACAAUGGGCAGUACAACGAGAAGCGAGCCUGCGAAGGCAAGCGAAUCUCUGAAAGCUGUUCUCAGUUCGGACUGCAGUCUGCAACUCGACUGCACGAAGCUGGAAUCGCUAGUAAUCGCGGAUCAGCACGCCGCGGUGAAUACGUUCCCGGGCCUUGUACACACCGCCCGUCACACCAUGGGAGUCUGCAAUGCCCAAAGCCGGUGGCCCAACCUUCGGGAAGGAGCCGUCUAAGGCAGGGCAGAUGACUGGGGUGAAGUCAUAAC
rnacentral:rRNA from 1 species